rnacentral:rRNA from 1 species
UACGUAGGGACCAAGCGUUGUUCGGAUUUACUGGGCGUAAAGGGCGCGUAGGCGGCGCUGUAAGUCACUUGUGAAAUCUCCGGGCUUAACUCGGAACGGUCAAGUGAUACUGCAGUGCUAGAGUGCAGAAAGGGCAAUCGGAAUUCUUGGUGUAGCGGUGAAAUGCGUAGAUAUCAAGAGGAACACCUGAGGCGAAGGCGGGUUGCUAGGCUGACACUGACGCUGAGGCGCGAAAGCUAGGGGAGCGAACGGG